UGAACGCUGGCGGCAGGCCUAACACAUGCAAGUCGAACGGUAACAGGAAGCAGCUUGCUGCUUCGCUGACGAGUGGCGGACGGGUGAGUAAUGUCUGGGAAGCUGCCUGAUGGAGGGGGAUAACUACUGGAAACGGUAGCUAAUACCGCAUAAUGUCGCAAGACCAAAGAGGGGGACCUUCGGGCCUCUUGCCAUCGGAUGUGCCCAGAUGGGAUUAGCUUGUUGGUGGGGUAACGGCUCACCAAGGCGACGAUCCCUAGCUGGUCUGAGAGGAUGACCAGCCACACUGGGACUGAGACACGGUCCAGACUCCUACGGGAGGCAGCAGUGGGGAAUAUUGCACAAUGGGCGCAAGCCUGAUGCAGCCAUGCCGCGUGUAUGAAGAAGGCCUUCGGGUUGUAAAGUACUUUCAGCGGGGAGGAAGGGAGUAAAGUUAAUACCUUUGCUCAUUGACGUUACCCGCAGAAGAAGCACCGGCUAACUUCGUG
rnacentral:rRNA from 1 species